UGAGCUGAGACCAGAAGAAUAUGGUUUGCUUUUUAGCUCCUGUUUUGGCUGAGUUCCUGGACCCAGCCGCUGGGUCAGAGCCAGCUGCUUUCUCCCCCCCACCCUUACCUGAUGAAAUAUAUCAAUUUUUCACCCGCCACCGCCUCUCCCCGCUCCCCUCCUUCAGCCACCCCUUGUGAUUGAAGGUGGGGUGCGGAGCGAGGUGCCAGGACCCCUCGCCCCACGGCGCUCCCCCUACCAAAAGCAUCCAAUGUGCGUCCGUCUUGUUACCGCUAAAUGCUUGACAGAUUUUGUUUCCUGUCGAGCGGCACGGCUGUGAAGCCCCCCCGGUUGCCAAGGAGCCGCCUCCCCGCACCGUCACGGGCUGAUUUGGUAUUCCGCGCGGCGCCCCGCCGCAUUUCUGUAUGCAAGACAAAGUGUUUUGAUGGAGGACGAUUGCAGGAGUGUCUGGAGGCUGUUUGGAGUUUUAUGGGCUGUGCAGUACGCUCCGUGCUCGCUCGCCGCGCGGGGCUGCCGGGGCUUUGGAUGGGGUUUGUCGUUUUUUCCCCGCCGAGAGGAGGCUGCCGGAGAGAGCAGCACUCGCAGGGUGGAGGAAAAGGGGGAAUUAUGUAAGAACCUGCCUUUUUUUGCUCCUGAGCUAAAAAUCUGGAUUUUUUUUUUUAUUUUAUUUUAUUUUUUUGUAUGAAAAUACCCGCUGCUCCACCCGUCGCCAUGCGGCGUGGGAGUCGGUGGCGCCAGCUGGCGAAGGUUGGGCGACGAUGUUGCCGGUGGCUCCCACCUUGCCCACCCCCAAGCCGCCACUCCAUCAUUCCAGGUGCUUUCCCAAGCCUCUCCAGGGUGGCCCGUGAGAUGCCGCCGGAGCAUCCUUCCCGCGAGAGCCGCCCGUCGUCCAGGCACGCUCGGGUGACACUCGUGGCACUCGGCCGGGAGAACCGCCGAAACCCCCCCGGGUCCCCCCGGCACUGCCCCCGCAGCUGUUCCCCCCUCCGAGCUGGGGAGGAAGGCAGGGGGUGAUGGCGAAGGGGAGGGCACGGGCUGGGCUCGUCCUAUCUGCUGGCUUAGGCUGGCGUUCGGCUCAGCAGUCCCUCCUUACCUUCUAAAGCCUGCGCCUCGCUUUUUUUCUUAUAUUCAAUUAUUGCCUUUUGCUGGCACUUUGGGGAAAAAAGGAGGCAAAGCCGUUUGCCUCUCUAAAUCCAAGCCUGCUCUGCAGCUCCGUCUUUUUUUUGGCCUUUCUUGGGUUUCUCCGAGAUAUUUUUUUAGUGCAGAGAUUUUCACAACUGUCUCUUCCACUUGGGUGAAACAGGGGAGAAGGGAAAUAAUGACAAUAAUAACAGCAAUAAUAAAAAUCAAAAAGCAGCUUGAUGUGGGCAAAAGAAGAAAACAAGAGAAUGGGGUAGAGAACAGGCUAAAUUUAAAAUUGUAAUUGGCUGACUUCCACAGGCUUGCGGGUGUUUUAAUGACUCAUAAUAACUUCAUUUAAAACCAGCUGAGCAGAAAAUAGAUUGGAGAGGAGCCUCAGGCCAUUAUGGAUUUGUUUUUUUUUGACAAGCUCUGUUUUCGGCAGCCAGGAAGGCACUCGCGGAGGGCUCGGCUGCUUCGCUCUCCCCGAGUUGGUGGUCUGCCCGACAGAGAUUGUAUAGAAAGCAGGGCCGGCUCUUUUUUUUUUCCCUUUUUUUUUUUUCCCUGAUUAAAAAUAGAUGCCUUGAGGUAUUAUUUUAGCAUCACUGUGGUUUGGUGCUUUUUUUUUCUUUGCACUUUUGAUGUGGUAAAUGGAACAUAAAUAAAAUUGUUUUUGAAAUUACUGAAUUAAUUAGGUAGUAAAGCGACGACAGUGCAUAAAUUUA